AUUGAACGCUGGCGGCAUGCUUUACACAUGCAAGUCGAGCGGCAGCGCGGGGGCAACCCUGGCGGCGAGCGGCGAACGGGUGAGUAAUGCAUCGGAACGUAUCCUCGAGUGGGGGAUAACCCAGCGAAAGUUGGGCUAAUACCGCAUGAGCUCUGAGGAGGAAAGCGGGGGACCUGCGAGGGCCUCGCGCUGGAGGAGCGGCCGAUGUCCGAUUAGCUAGUUGGUGGGGUAAAGGCUUACCAAGGCGACGAUCGGUAGCUGGUCUGAGAGGAUGAUCAGCCAAACUGGGACUGAGACACGGCCCAGACUCCUACGGGAGGCAGCAGUGGGGAAUUUUGGACAAUGGGGGCAACCCUGAUCCAGCCAUGCCGCGUGAGUGAAGAAGGCCUUCGGGUUGUAAAGCUCUUUCGGACGGAACGAAAUGGGCGGGACUAAUACUCCUGUCUGAUGACGGUACCGUAAGAAGAAGCACCGGCUAACUACGUG
rnacentral:rRNA from 1 species